UACGGGGGGUGCAAGCGUUAUUCGGAUUUAUUGGGCGUAAAGAGCGCGUAGGCGGCUUGGUAAGUCAGAUGUGAAAGCCCGGGGCUCAACCCCGGAAGUGCAUUUGAAACUAUCAGGCUUGAGUAUGGGAGAGGGAAGUGGAAUUCCUGGUGUAGAGGUGAAAUUCGUAGAUAUCAGGAGGAACACCGGUGGCGAAGGCGACUUCCUGGACCAAUACUGACGCUGAGGCGCGAAGGCGUGGGGAGCAAACAGGAUUAGAAACCCUUGUAGUCC
rnacentral:rRNA from 1 species